GCAUUAGUCGUCUAGUGGUUGUAUUGUAGCCUGCCACUUGACAGUCCAGGGUUCGAUUCCCGGAUGGUGCA
rnacentral:tRNA from 1 species